GACGUCACGGAUCAGCAGAAUCUGUAAGGUCAUCAUCAUAGUCCCAUGAUCACGCCAUGAUCGUCGCAUUGCACUGCUUUGUUGUCGUGUGAACGGCCCACCAAUCACGGAGGUCGAGCAGAACCAGGUACCAACACCUGCCACUUGGAAAAUUGUUGCGCAAGGUUUCAAGGCAAAAUGCAACUUUCCGAACUGCAUCGGAGCAGUAGAUGGCAAACACAUUCAAAUACAGGCCCCACCAAACUCGGGCAGCUUGUACAACAACUAUAAGGGCUCUGAAGGUGCAGUUGUGCCAGGUUGUGCGUUUAUCGAAAGGCAUGGUCAUAAACAAAGAACUUGGAGUGAGAUCGUUCGACAAUGACAUGUUCAACGUUGCUGAACUUGCACAGAUUCCUACGGACUACCUUUUCUGGAGCAAGUGGACCUUCCCUCUUUUUGCGUUCAUUUCAUUUUGUGUUCCAGCAAUUUGGUGAGGGGCUUUUUGUGAACCCCAACAAAGGCAAGCCGUGAGGGAACACAACCAAAAAGAAUACCUUAUGAAUUCUUCGCACAAUCCUUACACCAGCAGUGGAUACAUAGUUCAGUCGGUUCGAGGCCAAAGGCAAGAAAAACUUGUGGACACAAACAUCUGCAAGCUGAUGUGCACCACCCCAACAGGCCAGCAGGUGUCUACACAGGCACAGCUGCUGCAUGAAAGAGCGCACGGGUGCGGCCUGCCACGUGCUCCGAAACCGGCAUGACAGAAAGCAAAGAUGCCAGCAGCUUGCAUGGGAUGCAACAAUGGAGAAAAUUAAAAAGACCUGGUGUACUAAAGGCAUGACGAUUGACCACUCAAAGUCACUGCUAAUUGGCAGUGGGCAAUGGGACAAAAGAAGACGGAGAAGAAAAUGAAGGGCUUGACCAAGAUUAAUGGCCUAGGCUCUCUUCGACGUCAAAAUGUCAAGGAAUUGCCUUUGCACUGCUUCAAAGGCCUGCUGGACUGCCUAGAGUUUGUUGGUCAGCUUGGAGCUGUGCAGGGCGGCUUCCCACCUCGCCAAGAGAGCAUCUGCAUUUAUACUUCUAGCUUUAGUCACACAUUUCCAGAGCAUAUGCUAAAGUAUUUACCUAUUGAUAUUAACUGAAAGCCAGACUUUAUAUUUUAUGGCUGUCUUCUGCUACAUUUGUAUGUUUUUGCUUGGCAUAACUGUUACACCAUUCUUUUUUUUUUUUUCUGAAUUGUUUUGUAAUAAGCUCUAUCAUCCUUCUGCCAAUAAUGUGAGACAAUUUGCCAUAGAUUAAAUGAUCACACUAUCUUCCACCAUAAUGGUUAUUAAGCAGAAAGAUAGUGUGAUAGUUCCAAGAUAUAGAAAUAACUAUGGUACAUGUAAUAAAAUCUUAGCUAACUAAACUUUCAUUAUAUCUAGUAUCACUAUCAGUGGACUUGAUGGGAUGCGUCAUACAUUAAUAAAUGUAAAGGUUAUUUAUUGUGACUUUAUAAUAUCAAAUUUUAUUGUAAUUAUUUGUGGAAAUAUUGUUGGCCUUUGAAGACAAUCUAACACAAGUAAAGUUCUGCUAACUGCUAUUGGCAAUAUUUAAUAUUGUGCUAUUAAAGAAAGACCCCCCCACCACCAGCACUCACACUAUAUGCAUUUAGGGGAAAAAAGCUUACUUUCAUAGAUACAAAAAGACAAUCUAACACAAGUAAAGUUCUGCUAACUGCUAUUGGCAAUAUUUAAUAUUGUGCUAUUAAAGAAAGACCCCCCCACCACCAGCACUCACACUAUAUGCAUUUAGGGGAAAAAGCUUACUUUCAUAGAUACAAAAAGGCAUAUAGUGUUAUGCCUUAAAUGUGAGGAACAGCUUAAAAUAAUGUAUGUUUGCAAUAUUAUUCCUGCAGGAAAUAUGAUGACGAUAUAUAGGGUUUUAUGGUGCAAGGGCCAGUGUUGGCCAAAGAGCACCAGGUCAUGGGACAUUAGGAUGUGCUCAGUGAUGGUGUUUAGCAGCUGUAUAAGGGCCUAAAAUUCUGCACACUAAAAGUGCAUAAAUAUAUAAUUAUUAAAACAAUAAGAGUGACAUGAUACAUACACGAUGAAAAUGAGUGAGAAGCGAUCAGGGUAUUAAAAAAAACAGUGUCACAUUAGCAUGAGUGCCUUGUCAACACCCUUGAAUUCAAGGGCUGAGAGGCUGGUGCUUUCUCUAAUAAAUGCCGUAGCAGCAAGCUCUAUUGAAAGGCUGCGAACCCCUGGGCAAAAUGCAACAAAAGUUUGUGCAUCUUUUAAAAAUUCUAAAAGCAAUUUAUGAUUGAAAAGAGGUUUAUUUCCUUAAAGCAUUGAUGGAUGAAGUGAAGGAAAGGAGUGGAAACUUCAAGGGCUCGUUUUCUUUAUUAGACACAAUGUUAAUGAGAGCUAACAGACGACAUUGCCAAGGAAAGUAGAGGAGAUCUUUUUAGUAAUAAAUGUAAUGUAAAUGUGAAGAAAGAACAGUGGAUGAAAAGAUUACUUGACGUGGGCAGGAACCGAACCUGCGACCUCCGAAUAACAUGUCUUAAGUUCUACCAACUUAGCUAUAAUGACAGUUAGAUCACGUUGACCUUAGUGGAUAUACACGUGUAUUAAAACGUGCGAGCAUCAGUCAGCGCCCCCAGUAGCAAUGAUGGCAAGCGUUGAAUACUCUUUUCUUUCUGUUGGCAUCACGUGGCACGUGAUCUGAUUACGGGCCGGCAGCUGGCCUAAAGAUGAAUAUUACGAAGACAAAGACAGUGCUGAAUACAUAGCCUGGUAAAAGAGAAUGAGUUCAAGAGUGAAAACCACAGAUUGGAGGGUAUACGAGAAUAUGCGUACCUUGGGCAACUACUAAGAUGAGACCUUAAUGAAAAAGAAAUUCGCCAUCGAAUAAGAAUUGGCUAGAGUGCAUUCGGCAGAUACCUCCAAAUAACGUCGGGCAAUUGGCCACUUCAAUAAGAGUGAAAAGUAUACAGUCGCUGCAUACUGCCAGUUCCAACAUAUGGGGCUAAAACACGAUGCCUAACAAAGCAAGCAGAGAAAAAGCUGAAGACCAAGCAGUAUGCAAUUGAACAAAAAAUUACAGAAGUAGCAUUAAGAGAUCAGAGAACUACAGAAUGGGUCAGGGAAAGAAUAGGGAUUGCAGAUAUCCUAGCUGACAGCAAGUGAAAGAAAUGGACCUGGGUUGGCUGCAUAAUACAUAUGACAUACAACAGGUGGACAGUAAGAGGGACAGAAUGACUACCAUGCGAUGGGAAACACAGUCACUGCAGGCAGAGUUGGAUGGAGUGACGAAAUUAAGAAGCUUGCAGGGACAAGAUGGAAUUGACUCACUCAAGAUAGGGCCUGAGUCAAACAGCAGUGGCCGCUCAUCGCAUGGACUCAGAUGAAUCUCGGUUCAUUCGCCGCCACCCUUACCGUGGAUCAGCUUCUGGACGCAAGAUUACAUGCUCACACGCAACAUUAUCAGGCCUUCCGCAAGCUCAUAAUCUUCUCCUGCUGUGCUGGUAAAAAAAAAACAAGAAUGGCUCGGUGCAAUUUGGCGUCAAUUAUAGAGCACUCAACAAAAUUACCUGUAAGCACGCCUAUCCUAUGCCUCGGAUCGACAAUGCUCUUGAUACAUUACAAGGUGCCAAAUACUCUUCAAGUGUCGGCUUAUUGUAUGGUUAGUGGCAGAUCCUGAUGCACGAGUCCGAUAAAAAGAAGACUCUCUUUGCCACACCUGAUGGACUUUUUGAAUUCAGUGUAAUGCUUUUUAGGUUAUGCGAUGCCCCUGCCACAUUUGAACGAAUGACAGAUGUGGUGCUGCAAGGACUAAAAUAGAAGACUUGCCUUUGCUACCUGGACGACAUUGUCAUCUUUUCGUCCAGCUUCUCACAGCACCUGGAACGGCUAAGCAAAAUUGUAACAUGUCUCGCUAAGGUCAGUCUCUAGCUUAACACUAAGAAGUGUCAGUUUGCCAGUCGCAGCAGCAAGAUGUUAGGACACGUCAGUAAGCAUGGCAUUGAGCCCGAUCCCGACAAUAUUGCUGAAAUACUGCAUUUUUCUACACAAAUCACACCUAAAGACCUUCACAGCUUCCUUGGCUUAGCGUCCUACUUCUGCCAACUUGUGCAUGAUUUCGCUAUUAUCGAAGCUCCUCUGCAGAAACUUCUGACCACGAGUGCACUUUUUUUCUGGUCAGAGUGCACUUUUUUCUGGUCACUCUCAAGUGAUGCCUCGCAUCACAGCCAGUGCUGCGUCAUUUCGACCCUGCAGCAUCUAUUGUCCUACACACUGACGCAAGCAGACAUGAAAUCGCUGCUGUUCUGCUUCAGCGGAACUACGCUUCCGAAGAACAGGUCGUGGCCAUGAGGUUCAUGCAAAAUUUUCGCCCUUAUUUAUACGGCCAGCAUUUCACAAAUGUCACUGGCCAUUAUGUUCUGUGUUGGUUAUCGUGUCUCAAGAAUUUGAUGGGACGCCUUGGUCGUUGGGUGCUGCAUUUGCUUGAGUAUGACUACACCGUCUCAUAUAGGUCUGAUCAGAAACACCAAGAUGCUGACGCUUUGUCGUGCACUUCCCCCAGAACCUCCACUACUUAUAAGACAACUUCUGUUACGGCAGUAGCAAGGUAAUAUUUUAACCCUUUUAGAUGCUAACUAUCUGUAAGUAUGUGAAAUCACUACAACGUUACUUCAAGGCACUCAAAUUUCUAUUGUAAUAAAGAUAACAUGAUAAUUGUUGAAUCUAUGUGUGUUAUAGUAAGUCGUUCAAAUUAAGUUGCAAUUGAAUAUCUCUUUAACCUGAAGUCAUUGAUGGUUACUUUUGGCAUAAAUAGAAUUUAAUCUCAGGCUAGAAAUAUAGUGCAAAUUUAUUUUUGGUUAUGUCGAUUGUGAGCAAGGGAAAUUUCUGCUUUUCACAUUGUUUUCAAGAAGCUGCAUGUCACACGACUCGUCAAUCGUGGAAUGUCUUCAGAAAAGUGAUCAUAUGUAUUAGUACACUGCAAAAUGAGGUUAAAUGAAGACAAAUUAAUCAUGCAGAAGGUCCAAUUUGUCUGAUGUAUGAUAUAUCUUGCUUUUUUUUAGCCUCUACUUAAUGCAAAUAAUGAAAACGAGUGGUGUACACAAGUGUAUACAUUACGUCUGAAAGGGUUAAUGAAGUUGCACAAGGCAAAAGCAGUGCAGCUCGCAUGACUAACGAUGCUAAUAUUUGAAAGGUUUUUAUAUACAGAUGAAGACGAUGGUCUACCCAGUCAUCACUCACAAUAUUAGCCUUAAUAUACAUCAUGAAAAGGGCUCAAUUAAAUAGACGAUAUCAACGGAAGCAGCAAAACUGCAGGUUUUCCUAUGCACUCUUCAUUACAUCUUUUGCUCGCAAAAGCAAAACAGUUUUGCUUUUCAUAACACAGACUGUAUUUUUUUCAGUGUUUUUUUACUUGUACCCCUGUCCUCUUCCUGUUAGAAUCUGUCAUAAAAAUGGUACAAUAACCAGUCCUAUAAGACUGGUGAUUAAAACAGGAAAAAACAGAAGCAGCUCAUUUUACGGGGCCUGGAAAAGUUUUUAUAAUGUCAUUCUCAUCUUUUAAACACACAACGCAGGCCAUUUUUUUAAGUAUGUAAACAAAAUUCUAAAUGGAAUGUCCAAUGCUUUUUACACAGCCAUGUUUUUGUCAAAGCACUGCUACAAAAAUUAUUAUCCCAAGGUGCUGUGUGUCUACAAAAUGCCUCUGAAACCUACACAAGCAUUAGAUUUUCCACAACAAUUUGCUAUUUUUCUAAAAGACUGUAACAACACUGUCACUUCAUGCAGUGGUCCAGCCACAAAAGUUGGCAGGAACAGCAUCGUGGUGGCCUAGCUUCGCGAUGCUGAAUGACCUUCAGGAAUAUGCUAAUAAAGUAGUGCUGUUUGCUAAACUUGUCAAAAGUUGCUUGAUAUACAUCCCUGCUGGCUUUCAACUAUACAAGACUGCAUUUCAGAGAUAAAGUUGAAAGCUUCCCGAGUCAUAUAUUCUGGUUAAAGAUGUGAAUGCACAUAAUGCCUUCUGAUAAGACCAUCGCUGCGGCGCUGCCUUAUAGAAAAUGUUCUGUUUUUUUCAAGUGCACACAUAUUAAAUACGAAAGAGCCACUGUACUAUAGUGAUGCACAUAGAGCAUUCUUCUCCUGAACUAAGAAUCAUAUCCAGUGGUUUUUUUUGCUUCAUAUUUAGCAGAAACUUACUAAAAACCUAUGUUGGAGCGAUUACCACCAAAUUUUUAAAUCCUAACAAAGCAGGAUAGGUUACCUCAUGCCUCUUUAUGGAAACUUGAUUUAACCAACUGAGCAUUGCUAUAAUGACUUGCAUAUCUAAGCCAUUAUAUCAUUGUUGUUUUUAAUAAACACAAUGUUGUGGAAUAAUAUCUAACUAGUUUUAUAAUCAACACAGCUGAACAAUGCGAAAAUGCUUGAGGCUCGUGUGUCUGGAUUUAGGUGCACAUUAAAGAACCCCAGGUGGUCGAAAUUUUCCACUAUGACGGAAUGGAGCAUCUUCAUUCCAAUUCCAUUGCGGGGAAUUAGAAAUGGAUAACAAAAUCCAUUAAAGAAAUCUGCUGGUAUUAGUUGGAACAGGGCACCGCUCGGGCACUUUCUUUGCCUUUGCAUCAAAUACGGAACACUGGGCCACUCUGCUCGCCAGCACUCACACUUGUUGGUGAUUCUUAGUUUAGGGGGAAGAAAAAGGAAGAGGAGGGAAAAUGAAGGAAGAGCGCUCGAUAACUGUCUCUGUUUAAAUCAUCUCAACCAAAACACUCGUGGAGGUGAGGUGAGAAAGAGAGAAAAGGAGAAGUCAUGCACACCUCAUAAGCAUGGAUGGGGCAAGCAAAACUCUCUGUGUUUGCCUAUGCACAGGUAUGCAUAUUGUCGCAAAGGUAAUUACUUCUUUCCCUCAACGGGGGCACCAUCGAGAAAAAAAAACACAAGGCGUUAAGGGGAGUAUUCUGCCACUAGUUUUUUGUGUGUGUGCGUGACAUAUACUUGCCGUUGAGGCAUAAUGUUUUGUGCGUAUAUGUAUAUCAAAUGUGUGUCGUUAAGCUAGUGCUGUGUAUGAAGUCCAGUAGUCCAUGCUACAGUUACAAACGGCAUAGAGCCAUGGUUACAUGAAGAAUAGACAAACUUCAGAGCAACACAGUCUAUAAAAGGACAGAAUUAUAGUAGGCAUGUUGCUUAUAAAUGUACCCUGCAUGUAAUCAGCCAAGCCAUUUCAAAAAUACUGCUUUAUUGUUACAUUCGAGGCUCUGACGUGAUAGUGUUUCAAAUUUAAAAAACAGCGCAUAAACGAAAACGGGCUCCAUUUUCGGAAAAAAAAAGUGUAGGUCUAUUCCCAUCCUAUUACGCGCUAAAAGUGCUUUAUUCUAUUCCCAUUCCAUUCUGGAGUCACGAAAAUAUGGAAUAAUUCCAGAGUCAUUCCAAUUUAGGAGUGGCAACUCAACACUGACUGGCACACACACACAUACACACAAACAAAUACACAAACACACACAUAAAUCACAAUGCAAUAAUGAGCCAUAAAUUUCUUUUUUGAAAGGCAGAGUUCACUCGUAAGAAUAGCUUUUCACACUGUACUGAAGGAGUGCUUCACUGCAUAUUGCUGACCAGCCUGUGACAGCACAAAAUCGCUUCCUCUUGAUGUGGCUGAACUCUCAUAGUAUUCACCCCCUUUGCUUUCUUUUAGCACAAGUCCGUUCACAAUCACUCCAUGAGAGAUCUCACAGAUGGGAGAAAAUUGGAUGAAGUGCACAUCCCAACCACAGCCCAAAUCAUCAACAGGCCUGCAUAAAAAACGAAGAGUUGUAUGAGUUGCAAUUACCUGUCUUUUUUUUUUUUUUGCAAUAAAACAUAUCCGACAAAUUU
rnacentral:lncRNA from 1 species